rnacentral:rRNA from 1 species
GUAGGUGGCAAGCGUUGUCCGGGAAUUAUUGGGGGCGUAAAGCGCGCGCAGGCGGUUCUUUAAGUCUGAUGUGAAAGCCCACGGGCUCAACCGUGGAGGGUCAUUGGAAACUGGAGAACUUGAGUACAGAAGAGGAAAGCGGAAUUCCACGUGUAGCGGUGAAAUGCGUAGAGAUGUGGAGGAACACCAGUGGCGAAGGCGGCUUUCUGGUCUGUAACUGACGCUGAGGCGCGAAAGCGUGGGGAGCAAACAGGAUUAGAUACCCUGGUAGUCCACGCCGUAAACGAUGAGUGCUAAGUGUUAGGGGGUUUCCGCCCCUUAGUGCUGCAGCUAACGCAUUAAGCACUCCGCCUGGGGAGUACGGCCGCAAAGGCUGA